CAAAAUCGCACAUACUGGUGGCUUUGUCUCUCUCACAGUUCUGGUGGCUGGAAAUCCAACAUCAGCAUGCCAGCAGGUGACACUGAAUGCCUGGGACUCCAUAAACUUCCUGCCUAAACAGCCUGUACCCACUUCCAGGACCUGCAAGGCCCUUUCCCCUUUGACCUCUCCCUGCUGAAGUACCACCGUGGGACUCCCCUCCCCAUGAGGUGGCCAGCGGGUGGCGGUCUGGAUUCGGAGGAAGAAUGGUCGGAAUUUUUAAAGUGCUGGCCGGGUGUCCACAGACAUGGGCACAAGGGGGAAUCUGGGAGAGAAGAGAGCUGGUUCUGGCCACGCCACCGUGUUCCGGCACCAUGCUGAGAAGUGCAAGAAUUCUACGGGCAACGCAGCCUCACCUUCCAGGUUAUUAAGAAGGUACAGGUGUGAAGGUUCUUGUUCUCAAUGGAUAGUUGAGAUACGUCUUUUUUUUAUGUGCAACUACUAUGUGCCAGAAGUUCCAGCAAGUAGAACUUCACCUUGAGAUGGAAUUGUGUUCUCCAUAAAAGCAAACCGAAGAGCCACACUGGGUAAAGGGCUUUGUGGCCUGAACUGGAAUCCUGUCCAUGCUAAGUUUGGUGCUUCCAUAGGCUGGACUUAACAGGAAGUGGACAAGCAAGGCAAUCCAGAUGAUUUCAUUCUUAGCGGUCAGCCUCUGGGAGGAGAGCAAAUGGAUAUCAGUGGGAUUAGAGGAAACAGAAUUACCAAGUAAAUAAUUGCAGACAGCACUGCAAGCAGAGGGAGCAGUAUGUACAGAGGCAGUGAGGUGUGAAAGACCAAAAAUUGUUGAGAAGCAGUCUGGAGUGCAUUGUUGUCAAACCAGCUAAGAUUGGGUCAUUGGUAGAAGGAUUACAUAUCAAGCUCUGAGGCCUUUGGAAUUGUUUUUUGGGCAGGGAGUAGUAACAGUUCAGGGCAGAGAUGAAGAAAGAUUUGCUAAAUUAGUUGCAGAGAAAAAGGCAAGGUAUUUGGGACAUUUAUUUAAAAAACGUGAUA